rnacentral:rRNA from 1 species
GGCAGCGACUUAACUGAACCUUCGGGGAACGUUAAGGGCGGCCCCCUGUUGGACGGGUGAGUAAUGCCUGGGAAUAUGCCCUGAUGUGGGGGAUAACUAUUGGAAACGAUAGCUAAUACCGCAUAAUCUCUUCGGAGCAAAGAGGGGGACCUUCGGGCCUCUCGCGUCAGGAUUAGCCCAGGUGGGAUUAGCUUGUUGGUGAGGUAAUGGCUCACCAAGGCAACGAUCCCUAGCUGGUCUGAGAGGAUGAUCAGCCACACUGGAACUGAGACACGGUCCAGACUCCUACGGGAGGCAGCAGUGGGGAAUAUUGCACAAUGGGGGAAACCCUGAUGCAGCCAUGCCGCGUGUAUGAAGAAGGCCUUCGGGUUGUAAAGUACUUUCAGUAGGGAGGAAGGCAGUGUCGUUAAUAGCGGCAUUGUUUGACGUUACCUACAGAAGAAGCACCGGCUAACUCCGUGCCAGCAGCCGCGGUAAUACGGAGGGUGCGAGCGUUAAUCGGAAUUACUGGGCGUAAAGCGCAUGCAGGCGGUCUGUUAAGCAAGAUGUGAAAGCCCGGGGCUCAACCUCGGAACAGCAUUUUGAACUGGCAGACUAGAGUCUUGUAGAGGGGGGUAGAAUUUCAGGUGUAGCGGUGAAAUGCGUAGAGAUCUGAAGGAAUACCGGUGGCGAAGGCGGCCCCCUGGACAAAGACUGACGCUCAGAUGCGAAAGCGUGGGGAGCAAACAGGAUUAGAUACCCUGGUAGUCCACGCCGUAAACGAUGUCUACUUGGAGGUUGUGGCCUUGAGCCGUGGCUUUCGGAGCUAACGCGUUAAGUAGACCGCCUGGGGAGUACGGUCGCAAGAUUAAAACUCAAAUGAAUUGACGGGGGCCCGCACAAGCGGUGGAGCAUGUGGUUUAAUUCGAUGCAACGCGAAGAACCUUACCUACUCUUGACAUCCAGAGAACUUUCCAGAGAUGGAUUGGUGCCUUCGGGAACUCUGAGACAGGUGCUGCAUGGCUGUCGUCAGCUCGUGUUGUGAAAUGUUGGGUUAAGUCCCGCAACGAGCGCAACCCUUAUCCUUGUUU